rnacentral:rRNA from 1 species
GUGUCAGCAGCCGCGGUAAGACGAACCUGACGAACGUUAUUCGGAAUCACUGGGCUUAAAGGGUGCGUAGGCUGUGCAGAAAGUUGGGUGUGAAAUCCCUCGGCUUAACCGAGGAACUGCGCCCAAAACUACUGUGCUUGAGUGAGAUAGAGGUGAGCGGAACUUAGGGUGGAGCGGUGAAAUGCGUUGAUAUCCUAAGGAACACCGGUGGCGAAAGCGGCUCACUGGGUCUCAACUGACGCUGAUGCACGAAAGCUAGGGUAGCGAACGGGAUUAGAUACCCCCGUAGUCC